rnacentral:misc_RNA from 1 species
UUUCCGUAGGUGAACCUGCGGAAGGAUCAUUACUGCAGUCGGUCUUAAUUCAUUAAAGCUUCUUCCCAGUGUGCUGGUUUUGCCCGUAUGUAAUGUUGGGGAUUAAACAUGGUUGGGAGAAAUCUUGUCUGUCCCCAACAAAUUAUCUUAUCCUUUCUUAAAUUGAACUGACCGCAUUUUGAGAUUACAUAUAAAAAUAAUCUAUGAAUAUAACUUUCAACAACGGAUCUCUUGGUUCUC